rnacentral:rRNA from 1 species
CCUGCCAGUAGUCAUAUGCUUGUCUCAAAGAUUAAGCCAUGCAUGUCUAAGUACAAACUAUAUUAAAGUGAAACCGCGAAAGGCUCAUUAAAUCAGUUAUGGUUCCUUAGAUCGUACCACAAUUACUUGGAUAACUGUGGUAAUUCUAGAGCUAAUACAUGCAAACAGAGCUCUGACCGGAGACGGAAGGAGUGCUUUUAUUAGAUCAAAACCAAUCGGCGUCAGUAGCAUUUCGGUGUUAUUGUUCGUCGCUCAAUAUAUGGUGAAUCUGAAUAACUUUAUGCUGAUCGCAUGGUCUUGUACCGGCGACGCAUCUUUCAAAUGUCUGCCUUAUCAACUGUCGAUGGUAGGAUCUGCGCCUACCAUGGUUGUAACGGGUAACGGGGAAUCAGGGUUCGAUUCCGGAGAGGGAGCCUGAGAAACGGCUACCACAUCCAAGGAAGGCAGCAGGCGCGCAAAUUACCCACUCCCGGCACGGGGAGGUAGUGACGAAAAAUAACGAUACGGGACUCAUCCGAGGCCCCGUAAUCGGAAUGAGUACACUUUAAAUCCUUUAACGAGGACCAAUUGGAGGGCAAGUCUGGUGCCAGCAGCCGCGGUAAUUCCAGCUCCAAUAGCGUAU